rnacentral:rRNA from 1 species
UACGAAGGGGGCUAGCGUUGCUCGGAAUCACUGGGCGUAAAGGGUGCGUAGGCGGGUCUUAAGUCAGGGGUGAAAUCCUGGAGCUCAACUCCAGAACUGCCUUUGAUACUGAGGAUCUUGAGUUCGGGAGAGGUGAGUGGAACUGCGAGUGUAGAGGUGAAAUUCGUAGAUAUUCGCAAGAACACCAGUGGCGAAGGCGGCUCACUGGCCCGAUACUGACGCUGAGGCACGAAAAGCGUGGGGGAGCAAAACAGGA